rnacentral:tRNA from 1 species
GGUAAUGGCUCAGUGGUUGCGUGCUCACCUAGCAUGUGUGGGGUGCUGGGUUCGAUCCUCAGCACCA